rnacentral:rRNA from 1 species
UACGUAGGGGGCGAGCGUUGUCUGGAUUUAUUGGGCGUAAAGAGCGUGUAGGCGGCCAGGUAGGUCUGCUGUGAAAACUCGAGGCUCAACCUCGAGACGUCGGCGGAAACCAUCUGGCUAGAGUCCGGAAGAGGAGAGUGGAAUUCCUGGUGUAGCGGUGAAAUGCGCAGAUAUCAGGAAGAACACCCGUGGCGAAGGCGGCUCUCUGGGACGGUACUGACGCUGAGGCGCGAAAGCGUGGGGAGCAAACAGG